rnacentral:lncRNA from 1 species
GUAAGCCCCAAACUCACCAAUAUACUAAUUUGAAAUUCAUGCUACCCAGUUUUAUUCAAGUAACUAACAGGAAAUCAAUUAUCACUAACGUGAAUUACUCUAUCAUCCUAACAGGAAAUUAACUACAUCUAGUAUGUAUAUGAGUCAACUAAUAGAGAACUAACUACAUUUAAUACUUCACUUGAAAAACAAAACUCAUUGAAUACAAGUCAUGACAACUCAUAGUCCAGUUAGCACAAAACCAACAAAUCUUAAACAAAAUCCCUGAACUAAAGACUGAAUACAUAGAUCUGGGAACAAAUUGAAUACGAAUUCAACUAUUCCAAUAACUUCAUUCUUCAUAAACUCAUUUCUGCUUCCAAUUAUUUUCUAGUUUCAAAAUUUAAAACAUAGAUCAAGCAAACAAAAUUGUACCACAGAUAAAGUUAAUACAAAUUAACAGUACAAAAAUCCAAUAUCAUGACAACAUAUAACUACUAAUAAUGAAAUGAAACUAGGCUGAAUCGAACCUAUUUAUAUUAACAGGUAAGAUGAAGACUAACUUCACAGUCUAUUUUAAACAAAAAUAGAACAAGGAAGACAAUGCCUAAAGCAGAAUCAUGCUUCCAAUUCACAUAAAUUCAUGUCGGCAUACAUCCAGCUUACAAUCGUCAGGGAUACAGUUUGUGCACCUGGAAAGUUAAGCAGAAGGAGAAGAAGUCAGCAAUAGCAAAGUAACAACAGCAGCAAACUAGGCUCAAACCAAUAGCGAAAACCAAUUUCAACCCAGCAAACACACUCCCACCAAGCCUAGAAUUAAUUUGUAAAACCAAAAGCAACACAAACACCUAAAAACAGAAUAACUGAGCUCGAAUGAACUCAAAAGCUGAAUCAGUAGACUUCAAAGUAGGUGCAACCGUCAGAAGAGGAAUGAAUCAGUGUUUAGAACCCAAAUUUCACCUAGAAAUCAAUGGAACAAUACAUAUUUUGGAUUUUUUUUGAAGAUAUUUUGUUGUUUUUGGUUUUUUUCUGAAAAAGCUAAGAGCUAAACGAGGAUUUUGAAUUCCUAUAGAUUUUGAAAUUCAAAUUUCAUGCUCAGAUCUAUAAGGAGGAGUUUCGGGGGAAUUUUAUGGCUGAGAAACCUUCCAUGAAGGCACUAUUUAUAUCCUUAUAUAGGCAAACUGAAGGCGGCCUGAGAUUUUCUGUUUACAGCAUAGACCCACUAUUUUUUAUUCAACUAAUUCAUUAUUUUCUAACUUGUGCCUCAAGUUUCUGCCUUAAACUUCCUAAAACUCUACUACUAUCCAAUCCUAAAUACCCAAGUUGCCCCUGACUACCCCUGAAAUUACUUCACUACUUAACCGACCCAAACCCCUUGUUAGCCUAAAUUAACCUAAGGUCUGAUUCAUUCAGCUAUUAACCUAUCAGCUAAAAUAAUUCUUUACAAUUACUCAAAAGAAAACCAAACUGAAGAAAAUCAUAUAUCAGAACAACUUAAUUCAAUUGCUAAACUACUUAACACAGUUACUAAUUACGAGUAAAUUAACAACUAAUCACUUGAACUAAUUAAUUAACGUUUGAAACUUAAACUAACGGAGGUAAACAUGGAUCCAAUAAGACUUACACUAAACUAAACCAUUAUUCAAACACACAUGGUAUUCAAAACUAAGAACAAAGCAGAACUAAACUAAAUUAAUACCCAAAUGCAUUCAAUUAACAAAUUUAAACAAAAAACUAAACUAGAAUUUAAACCUAUGACCAGAUUAGAAAAAAAUCAAAUUGAAGAAGACUUUAUUAAUUUUCAUAUUAAUGCUUAUUAAUAACUAAAAUAGCAUCAAAAGAGAAAAAGAAAAAGGGAAACAAAAUAGAGGAACUCACUAGUGAAAUUUUCAAAUAGGUCAACUCCCAGACUCGAACUUAACCCAUUUCCGGCGAGAUUCGAGUGCCAAUGAUGCUGAAAUCCUCAUGGGAAAGGAGAGGGGAUCACAAGGUUUUAAUUUGAAGGGGUUUGGAAUAAUUAGGGUUUUGGUCGGAAAAGUUCAAAUAAAUAUUCAAACGAUUCCGGCCAUAUUUGAGGGUCAAGGUCUUGGGGGUUCGAAAGAGGAAUGGGAGAGGGAUCUAGGGUGUAAUUUUGGCGGUGAUUUGGG